UUUUGUGAUUGUGAAUAACUGCAGUGUUCCGUGAGUAUAACUCUACCGCUGUGUUAACACGUGAUGUGAAUGUAUGUCGCUUUGUACUACACAGUUUGUUGAGACGGAGGCGCCAGGACUGCAACUAACAGAAAGCGAUAUAGCACAAAACAACACUAUUUCUUAAAAAGCAGAUCAUGGAGACCUUUUAUUCGUCCACGUUGUAAUGUCCAAUGUUCAUUUUGGACACAGCAAGUGUCACAGCUCAAAUGUCCAAUCCCCGCCUAAUAACAAGCAAGGGGAAGUACUGCAAUGGAAAACACUCAUAAACUGAUUGUAAAAUAAUAUUCCAAAACAAAUAUAGUUAGGACUAAGAGGGACUUCUUAUAAUAAGUUCACACAAAAUUUAUUUCAAAUUUAAUUCAAGCACUUUCAAGGACCAAUAUUUGUUUUCAAGUACUUUCCAGGCCUUGAAUUCAUGUGUCUGAAAUCCAAGUACUUUCAAGUACUUUCAAGGCGUGUGGGAACCCUGACCGCCACACCCCACAAGCAAAAUAUCAGCAAGGGGCUGCCCAGACUCAAGAAUCCCGCAUGUAUCCAGCAGCUUGCGGUUGAUUUCCUCAUUAAUAGUACAUGCCUUAGAACCCGUGUCUAACAGGCCUUGGCAUGUGACUGUAUCAUUCACCAACACAUCGGUAUAAAACAAACUGUCAGCUUUUUCCAGCUUUGCGAUGUCUUGGAAUAAAAUGAUACUGCCACUUGUCUCAACCUGACAAUGGUUGCUAUAGACGACCAUCGGAUCAUCUUCGCUGGUGAGAGGCUGACUCUCAACACUCACACUACCCUCUCCCCAGUGUGAGUGGUCUAGUUUCCCUGACCAUCCCUGGUCUGGGCCGCACCUUGGCCAACAACUCUGUGACACUGUUUACGUUGAUGUCCAAACUCUAAACAAUCAGGGCAUCUUCUUUAUCUCAUGCAGUGUGAACGAGUUGAAUGAGAUCGGUCUCCGCGCACUGCACACGGGGAUGCUCGAUACCACGGUGACGUACAAGGCUUUGGUUCUGAAACAGGGUGUGGGCUUGCAGUACAUGCAGCAGAGGUUAUACCUACACUUUCGCUUCCUACUGCUACCUGCAUGCUGACAGGCUUUUCGGCAACAACGGCCUGUUGUUGGAACGGAAUCAGAUGAAUCAAAUUGCAGUGAAAUAGCAAGGGGCUCAAUAGCAAUGGCGAAGAGAAGUGGACUCAAGGGACAUCCCUGUUACAGGAGGAAAUUAUCUUGGAUUAACCAGUUUCUGGAUCACUGCAGAAAUGAAGCUCAUCCACAUGAGCCAACUACACAAAAGGAUGUUCUGGGUCCUCAUGCAAAAAACUCUUCAUGGGUUUCAUCCUGAAAGAGAUCAGAAGGGCCAUCAAGCAAAAUGCUGAAAAAAAGAUGAAGAAUUUAUUUUAAUCUUGGUGCAACCGUGGAUCGAUUAAUACUGUAUAUCACUUCAUUAUAAAUAAAGCACAAAAGAAAUUACAAGCAUACGACAUCAUAGUUAUGUUUUCAAUUAGUAAGUCAUGAAAUUUCCAAAAAGUACCAAUAAAUUACAUAACUGGUACUUUUGUUAGCUGGGAAGGAUUUGGAUGCAGGUAUAAUGUUCAUUCUAUUCAUCAGGAGCAUCUUAAAGGGAUAGUUCAUCCCUAAAUGAAAAUUUGAUGUUUAUCUGCUUACCCCCAGGGCAUCCAAGAUGUAGGUGACUUUGUUUGUUCAGUAGAACAUAAAUGAAGAUUUAUUGAACUGUUGCCGUCUGUCAGUCAUAUCAUGCAUGUCAAUGGGAAUUCCAUCUGUUCAGUUUCUCGCACAAACCGAUCAUUUCGUGUCUUGGGACAUCAAUGUGUCAUCACGAGCCACAGGAUUUAAUUUGGAUUUGUCUGUCAUGUUUUUUUUUUUACUCUUAUAGAUGAAGUUCCCAUUGACAUGCAUUAUAUGACUGACUGAACGCAACCGUUGGAGUUAAAAGUUAUCAUUUGUGUUCUACUGAAGAAACAGUCACCUACAUCUUGGAUGC